AAUCACCCAUCAAAUUGUAGCAACUGAAACUAAAUUUGGCCUAAUUUUAGACUCAUUUUACAAUUGUAUUCGCUCAAAGAAAUCAACGUCAAAUAUACAUUUAUUAUAUAUAAUAUUAGCUUAGCUUCGCGCAAGCCAACCAGCUUCGCUUCUGCAGGCGACGCAAUCUUUAAGCUCCAACUUAAAACACGACGAACAACAAUGUCGGACGAUUAUGAAUUCAGCGAAGACGCGAGCAUGAUGCGAAUGGACGAGGACGGGGAGGCAACCAGCGAUGACCCGAUGUCAGCGGUCGGGGACUGUGGCCCGAUGGGGGCCGAGGGGUCGAAGAUAGACGCCAGUAAGAACGAGGAGGACGAGGGGAAGAUGUUUGUCGGCGGGCUCAGCUGGGACACGACGAAGAAGGACCUGAAAGAUUACUUUUCCAAGUAUGGAGAGGUUGUCGACUGCACCCUGAAGCUGGACCCCAUGACCGGUCGCUCACGGGGCUUCGGCUUUGUGCUCUUCAAAGAACCUGACAGUGUUGACAAGGUUGUCACACAUAAGGAACAUAAACUCAAUGGAAAGGUCAUCGACCCCAAAAAAGCCAAGGCCAUGAAGAGCAAGGAGCCCGUGAAGAAGAUCUUUGUUGGCGGCCUCUCUCCAGACACUCCUGAGGAGAAAGUCAGAGAGUACUUUGGUUCCUUCGGAGAGUUAGAGUCAGUUGAGCUUCCCAUGGAGAACAAAACCAACAAGAGGAGAGGCUUCUGCUUCAUCACGUUCAAAGAGGAGGAACCAGUCAAGGGCAUCAUGGAGAAGAAGUACCACAACAUUGGACUCAGCAAGUGUGAAAUAAAGGUGGCGAUGUCCAAGGAGCAGUACCAGCAGCAGCAGUACUGGGGCGGCGGAUACUCCUCCAGGUCUCGGGGGAGGGGCGGUGGUCCCAAUCAAAAUUGGAACCAGGGUUACGGCAACUACUGGAAUCAAGACUUUGGCAAUUAUGGCAAUUAUGGAAACUAUGGAAAUUAUGGAAACUAUGGCAAUUAUGGUUACGGUAAUCAAGGAUAUGGAGGCUAUGGCGGCUAUGAUUACCCCGGUUACAACAACUACUUCGGAUACGGGGACUUCACCGAUCAAUCCGGCGGAUACGGCAAGUUGCCGCGGCGCGGCGGCCACGUCAACAAUUACAAGCCGUAUUGACGGACGGAAAACUCGUCUUCAAGUAGGUACGUGAAGACAUAAAAACACACCUCGUACUUUAAAAUGUAAAAGUAGUUCUAUUUACUUUGCUGUUUGGUAACAUUAUGUGUAAUUUCCUCUUGUAAAUUUCUUUUUCUCAGCACCGGCAAGUGCUUUACAAGUAGUGGUAACAUAGAGGCUACACACGUGUGCCGAUUAUUUUUGUAACAGCCGGCCUUCUGCUGCCUCUUUUGCGCCUUCUUUUUUUUUUUAACUGUAACGUUAACAGGUAAAGUCCUGCUACUACAAGUAAAUGGAUGCCAAAAGUUAAGGAUGUGCAAGGAAACAGAAAAGAAGGAAGUAUGUUGUCUCCUAACUCUGACAUACCUUGUUUGUACCUGCCAGCGGAGCUUCCUUGCAGGCCAUGAGCUGACUCCCAGAUACUCUCAGGGCCCGCUCAAUGCGGACCGGGUACGAGAAGCAUACGCUCUCGAAUGCUGCCAUUUGGUGACGACAGGCCGCAGUGGUCGGGCGGAGCGACGGCCGGAGAGAUGAUAUGAUGAUGGUGUCCAGCAAAGAUCACUGAGCUGAUUGUAAGAACAUAAUGAAGGACACUAUGACCUACAAUCCAGUUCCUCUACAUUUACCAGAGUAUGUGUUGUAUCUUUAAAAAAAAAAAAAACGUUGUGUUUUGGGUUUAUUUAGAUUGCUGCAAAGAUUUAGCGGUUUGUGUUCCUCAUCCCUUCUUGUUUAUUUGUAUUUAAUGUUCUCCAGAUGCUAUUUGUGAAAUUGCUUGAUUAUACAACUGAAACGUUAGAUCGGUUGGAACAGAUCACACAUAUAUAAUAUAUAUUUAGUGGUAGCAAAGAAUGCAUACGAAAGCAUUGUUACAAUGUAUCCUCUUUACCGUAGUCAUCAGUCAUAAAAUACACAUAAUUACAUAGUUUUACAGUCAAACAUACAGUGUAUGUUUACACACACACACACAAAGACAUAAUUUGACAGAAAUGAGAUAAAAAUAAAACAUUUGGAUUUGUGAUCCUUUGUGAAAUAUUAAUAUUAUGUCACAUGUCGAUGGAGUGUUCAAGGAAGUAUUUUAGUCAAGUUUCUAACAAUUUAUCUUCUCAUCAUAAUCUUCAUCGCAGCCUAAUCAAUAAGCUUGCAGCUUGUUACAUCAUGCACCCUUUGAAUUUACAUGAAUAUUUUUGCUCUUGAAAUAUUUGUUUGUUUGAGCUGAAAUGACCGGAGACUCUCGUGAGUGUGUUUCCCAAUGCUCAAUAAAAGAGGUGAACUUUA